CCGGGGGAAGUUUCUGCUAAUUGUUAAUAUUCCUCAGAUGGGUUCUAUAUGGGCAGAAACGGAGAUCAAGUUUCUCAAUCAAUUGCGUAAAUUGUAUGAAGGCAAAGUAUCCUCCCCAUUUAAGAAGGGUUUUGAGGUUCUAGGAUUUUUUUAUGACAUGGAAA